UCUGAUAUAAACAAAAACUUUUCCAGAUUAUCAGAUGGGACCUUUGAUUGUUUCCUCGUUUUAACCAGUUUAGUUAUUUUUAUGAAUUAAAUAACAAAUGUUCUAAAGGAUCCGACAUAAAAAGAAAAUCAGCGGCUAAGAUAACGUUUCAUCAUCGGGAUCAGAAUACGUAUCCGAUUUCCUGUCCAAUGCUCCUGAAUGGGGACACACCAGGAUAAUGAAAACCGGCUCUAGAGAUUGCGGCAUAUUGUUGAGCCGCCUUCCGGUUCCUAAAAUAAUCAUUCUGGCUUAGCAAUGGAGAGCAAAUCUGAUAAGUACCAGGAAGUGAAUGGCUCGGUUUCAAUAUUGUUGGCUGUAUAUUGGCAAGACAUGAACAAAGUUGAGUUUCUAGUUUACCAGUUAUCAUGUAGCAUGAGCUAUCCAGGAAUAGGAAUAAUGAUGAGUAAAAACGUUAUACCAAGUAGAAGCAGUAGAAGGAGUCAUCACUCCAGUAGAAGUAACCCAGUUGUGAGCGACGUAUACACAUAAGAAAAAUCCUACGUCGCUAGCUGUUCUUUCAUGAAUAGAAUAAGAAUACUGGGCACUAUUAGCUACUUUCGCGAAUAAAUAGCAAUUAAAAUAUCCUUGAAAAUUUGAACAACUCCUAAUAUUCAAACAAUCUGGUCCAGUCAAAGGGCGUAGUUUUCGAAAUAAAAAUGUAAAAUUUAAACUGA